UCACGGGAGUAACUUUUCCCAAGGGACAUCUGUGACCUUCAGCUGUGAGACUGGUUAUAAAAUCGUCGGCAAUCAACAGAGGACGUGUCAAAGUAAUAAAGUUUGGUCCGGAAGUCUUCCAUCGUGCAUUUUCGUGAAAACGUGUAAUAUUAAUCCCUGUCAAAAUGGCGGAAGUAGUAUAGAUGGCGAGAAUCGAUACAUCUGUAACUGUAUCCAAGGUUACACAGAUGUUUACUGAGAAAAAGAUAUCCAGCCACCAAUUACUAAGAAGUGUCCUUCAGAAAUACGACAAAUUUCGUCAUCAAAAGUCGUCAACGUCACGUGGCGAGCACCUGACUUCUACGACCCAUUUGGUCAAAAUGUCGAAGUAACCACCAACUAUCCGGAUCACGGAUCCAUCCUUCUUUGGGGAGAAUAUACUGCUCGAUAUACAGCUUUAAAACCUUUGAACGGUCUUAGAGCCUACUGCACCUUCAACAUUUUUGUUGAACCUCCUCCUUGUCCAAAUAUUUCUGCUCCUUUGAACGGUGCUCUAGUCUGUAAUGGAUGGAUGAAAGAA